CAGUAGCCGCGGGAAAACGUAGGUGGCAAGCGUUGUCCGGAAUUAUUGGGCGUAAAGGGCUCGCAGGCGGUUUCUUAAGUCUGAUGUGAAAGCCCCCGGCUCAACCGGGGAGGGUCAUUGGAAACUGGGAAACUUGAGUGCAGAAGAGGAGAGUGGAAUUCCACGUGUAGCGGUGAAAUGCGUAGAGAUGUGGAGGAACACCAGUGGCGAAGGCGACUCUCUGGUCUGUAACUGACGCUGAGGAGCGAAAGCGUGGGGAGCGAACAGGAUUAGAUACCCGCGUAGUCCCUGUCUCUUAUAC
rnacentral:rRNA from 1 species